ACAUUGGUAGUUUAGUGGUGGAACUCCUGCCUUCCAUGUAAGAGACCUGAGUUCGAUUCCCGGCCAAUGCA
rnacentral:tRNA from 1 species